UUAGGUAAGUGAGGUUAGGUAAGUGAGGUUAGGUAAGGGAGGUUAGGUAAGGGAGGUUAGGUAAGUGAGGUUAGGUGAGGGAGGUUAGGUAAGGGAGGUUAGGUAAGGGAGGUUAGGUAAGUGAGGUUAGGUAAGUGAGGUUAGGUAAGUGAAAUUAGGUAAAUGAGGUUAGGUAAGGGAGGUUAGGUAAGUGAGGUUAGGUAAGUGAGGUUAGGUAAGGGAGGUUAGGUAAGGGAGGUUAGGUAAGGGAGGUUAGGUAAGUGAGGUUAGGUAAGUGAGGUUAGAUAAGUGAGGUUAGGUAAGGGAGGUUAGGUAAGUGAGGUUAGGUAAGUGAGGUUAGGUAAGUGAGGUUAGGUAAGGGAGGUUAGGUAAGGGAGGUUAGGUAAGCGAGGUUAGGUAAGUGAGGUUAGGUAAGUGAGGUUAGGUAAGUGAGGUUAGGUAAGUGAGGUUAGGUAAGUGAGGUUAGGUAAGUGAGGUUAGGUAAGUGAGGUUAGGUAAGUGAAAUUAGGUAAAUGAGGUUAGGUAAGUGAGGUUAGGUAAGUGAGGUUAGGUAAGUGAGGUUAGGUAAGUGAGGUUAGGUAAGUGAAAUUAGGUAAAUGAGGUUAGGUAAGUGAGGUUAGGUAAGUGAGGUUAGGUAAGUGAGGUUAGGUUAGGUUAGGUAAGUGAGGUUAGGUAAGUGAGGUUAGGUAAGUGAGGUUAGGUAAGUGAGGUUAGGUAAGAGAGGUUAGGUAAGUGAGCAUUGAGGGUGUGGGAAUGUCCAUAGGGGGAGUAGCAGGGGGAGGGGGAGCAGGCAGCUGUCUAGUGGUGGCUAUUCAGCAGCCUGAUGGUCUGAGGGUAGAAACUAUUGGCCAGUCUUUCAGUUAUUGCCAUGGUGCUCCUGUCCUGGCUGUGUCUGUGAUUGAAGCGGGGAGAACAGGGCAUCGCUUGUGGUGGUUGGGGGGGACAGGACAAAUUUCUUCAGUAUCCUGAGGUUGAAGAAUCGCAAGUCGUGCUUUCUACGCUAGACCACUUCAGCUUCUGAGAUGGGUACGCCUAGGAAUUUGAAGUCAUUGACCGUCUCUUCGGCGGCCCCAUUGAGGAGGAUGAGGGAGUGUUCAGCCUGUUUUGUCCUGAAGUCCACAAUCAGCUUUUUUAUUUGCUCAUGUUGAGGGAGAUGUUGUUUACCUGGCACCAUGCCGUCAGAGUGCCUACCUCCCUGUAGGCUGUCUCGUCAUUGUUGGUGUUGUCAGCGAACUUGAUGAUGGAGUUGGAACUGUGUGAGGGCACGCAGUCUUGGGUAAACAGAGAAUACAGAAGGGGACUGAGGACGCACCCUUGUGGGGCCCACGUGUUGAGGAUCAGUGUCGAGGAGGUAAUGUUGCCUACCUCCACCACUUGGGAGCGGCCAGUCAGGAAGCCAGGACCCAUCUGGACAAGAGGAAUACCUAUGUGAGAAUGCUGUUCAUCGACUACAGCUCGGCAUUCAACACCAUAGUACCCUCCAAGCUCGUCAUCAAGCUCGAGACCCUGGGUCUCGACCCCGCCCUGUGCAACUGGGUACUGGACUUCCUGACGGGCCGCCCCCAGGUGGUGAGGGUAGG
ensembl:lncRNA